UACAGAGGGGGCAAGCGUUGUUCGGAAUUACUGGGCGUAAAGAGCUCGUAGGUGGUUUGUCGCGUUGUUCGUGAAAACCGGGGGCUUAACCCUCGGCGUGCGGGCGAUACGGGCAGACUUGAGUACUGCAGGGGAGACUGGAAUUCCUGGUGUAGCGGUGGAAUGCGCAGAUAUCAGGAGGAACACCGGUGGCGAAGGCGGGUCUCUGGGCAGUAACUGACGCUGAGGAGCGAAAGCGUGGGGAGCGAACAGG
rnacentral:rRNA from 1 species